rnacentral:rRNA from 1 species
AUGCCGUCGACCUUUGAUCAAGAUCAGACGGCCUUCAUGCAUGAUCAGGUCGGCCUGGACCUGGACGGCUUCCCACUCAACCACGAGUUUUCGGAGGACUACAUGCAAGAGGAAGAGGACGAGCGCGACAUUGAAAGGGAGCCUUUGUUCAAGGACGAGCUCACCAACGAAGCCGUCGAGGUGAAGCCGAAGCAGAAAAGCAAGCGGAACAAGGCAUAUACGGCAGCCGAGGACAAGCUUAUUUGUGAGUGUUCGAGAGACAUUGGGCAUGACCCCAAGACUAGCUUUGAACAAAACCAUUCAACUUUUUGGAUUCGUGUCCACCGUGAGUUCCAUGAGUGCAAGAAGUUUCCGCCGUACCAAAUAGUAAGCAUGCGCGGGUGGGUGUCCAUUUCGAAGCGAUGGAGGAUGAGCCAAUAA